GCUGUCAGCACAGAGCCCGACGCGGGGCUCGAACCCACAAACUGCGAGAUCAUGACCUGAGCCGAAGUCAAAUGACUGAGCCACCCAGGUGACCCUCCUUUUACUUGUUUUAACCAGAACAAUGAUACCUUUCAAAUAAAUAUAAUCCUCCCAAAUGCUUUGGUCCUGGGCUCAAGGACCUACUUCAGGUGAAGCAUGUAUAUAUCUUUUUGUAUGAAACGGGCACGGGCAUCCGGAUCAGAACUGACUUUCAGCCAUUCUUUGGCCGUCUGUUGUCCCCGGUUAACACGAAUCUCACUCUGCGGGGAGCACCGGUCCUUCAUUUCCGCACCGCCACUCUUUUUCCCCAGGGCACCGACCUGAGAUUUCCGAUUUGAACACACCCUUCCAGCACCGGAGGACAUUUGUCUCUGUGCCUGCUCCGGUUCCCUUAAAAAUCCCUGAUGAACAGAUCCCUACCAAGCACCUACUGUGUGACAGGGUGCGCACCAUGGUAGGUCUGCAGUUUACAGAGAAGAGUCACGGCCUCUGCCUUGAGGAGCUACGAUCGCCCCUGAACGAAUGGCCACCUUACGUUUUCAUGGGGCUUUCAGAGAAGCCCAACGCUACGGAGGAGAGAGACACAUGGGGUGCGAGGUGGUACCUCACUCGGGAUCGAAUCAAACCAGAAACACACCAAAAGUAAAGACAAGUGAGACAAUAUUUGACAUACUCUGUCAUCUCUGCUUGGGGCCUGUCUCCUGGAGAAAGGCAAAGUUUUGUUAAUAGUAAUGUUCUGCCGCCUCCUCGUCAUCUACGUGGGGCCAAGGGGGGCUGAAGAGUCAAGUCGGGAGACCUCGUUUCUCACCUGCACACCUGGAGCCUGGAGCAGACAAUUAGGGGAGCCCUGGAACAGGGCAUCGUGGGUGUGAAUCUGCCAAUCUCUUCGGUGACUUCGGAUAAGUUGACCCUCAACUUUCUUCACCUGGGUAGCGGGGGGAUGCGUGCUUCUUUCUGAGAGUUACCUUGAGGGAGGUUAAAUAAGACGCCAGCAGAGUGCCUGUUGUCCGCUCAGUGUUACUCGGCUCUUUCCUUCCCCAGCUAUGCUUAGUUAUUUUUCUUUAAUUCAUGCCAUAGGGCACCUCUUUGAGAUCCAAGACCCUACCCUCCUUUCAUACUACCGGGACCCCAAAAACAUGCCUCCGAAGGCAAUGUAAACAUAGUACUUAGCCACAGAUAUUCAUUAUUAGUAUUGUUUUUAAGUGGCUUUGUGGCAUUUGAAAUACCGUCUACUAUGAUGAGAACCCUAUUAAACCUUAAUUCCUUUCUUAGAGGCCUCCAAAUCUAGCCACACUGGGGCUUCCAGGUGGAGGCGUGGGCAGGAGGCUUCAGCUGGUGACAAAGGGUGAUAAUCAGCCUCUGAAAACAGACUCUCGCAUGCCCUCAAUUUGAGUGGGGGCCCCAGCAAUCCUUUCUCUAUUUCUUGGGUUGAUGGACAAAAGGCGUAUCCCCAGGAUUUUAAUCUUCAUUCACCACUCCUUCCAAGCCUCCACCUUUUUGUUUGCGUGUUUGCUAAGGUAAGACCCCACACUGUGCUUUUCAGGGGCAGCAAUCUAUGAUUCUUCAUAUGCAGGGAUCCCUCCAAUGCUAAGGAGGAGAUUAAAAUAUCUCGGACCAGCAGUGUGCCUGGCAGGGGCUGCCUGUGUGUCCCAACCCCCAGUCAGCAGGAGCAGCACGUGUUGGUGACUUCUUCAGGGCUAAUGUUAAAAAGUGAACUCACAGGCCCUGAAAAGAGAUACGUAUAUAAGCAAUUGGAAAGAAAAGAGUUGAUUUGUGGCAAAACAAGGCACGUUUUUACGCCAAAGCCAAAUGUUCAUUUUACUCAGCACCCCCGUGUUCCUCUGUAUCUGUACCUAAACACACACACACUCACGUGCAUGUGCACACACACACACACACACACACACACACACACGUGUCCUGUGUGUGUGGGAAUAUGCACACAAUCUUCGUAUUUGAUACACAUAAAACAUAGACACAACCCAAUCCAAACCAGCUGUUGGGAUUCAAGUCCAAGACUAGAACAUGAGACCCUCCAGACAUGUGAACAUAAAUGCAGAGCAGAAAUUCAACAAGAUGAUACCCCCCCCUUCCCCCACCCCCACUGUGUGUAAUCCUUUCUCUCUCAUAUUUUUAUAUAUUUUACACCCGUGGAUCUUGAUGAACUUAAGCCCGGGCAUUGUACAGAUUCCAGAUUUCAAAUGAAUAACUCUUUCAUUUAGUUAAUAGCUGCAGCAGAGCCAUAAAACCGUAAUAGUUUAUGACUUUCAGGAUAUAACCUGCAACCACAGACAAUAUAAAUUAUAUUACAUUGCACUUUAUAGCCGUAUGAAGCACACACAAGACCUCACCGCUGGUGUGAAGGCUGGGGAGUGGGGGUGGGGUGUAAUGAAUUGUUUGUUUGUUUGUUUGUUUGUUUGUUUUCCUUCUUGGCUAAAAAACACCUUCAUCCUAUGACCCAGCAAGCCGUCAUUCUGACCGGAGGCCUCCACAGCCGCUGCGCUGAAUGCCAUUGCGACCACAAAAGAAAGCUGUUGAUAAAGGAUCGAGUUCUGGUCGUGGACCUGUUCGGGGUCCAAGAUGCCUGUGCCCCUCUUGUGCCCCCUUCUCCCAGAGGAGGGGAUGAUCACCCUUCUCCGUGAGGUUCCGGCUGUGUAACCGAGCCAACGUGAGUUCUCUCCGAGGUGAAUGGCAAAAACACACCAGGUGUACGUCAUAGAGAUUUGAUAUUUCCAUAUAUCAUGAGAUGAUCCCAGUGAUAAGUCUAGUGACCACCUGUCAUCGUACCAAAUGAUUACUAUAUGAGUGACCAUAUUUCCUCCGUUGUACCUCACAUCCCAUGUCUUCCCUAUUUUCUUGGUGGAAGUCUGUGACCUCUUAAUUCCCUCACCCAUUUUGUAGGGAAAGGGGACUAGUAAAAUUAGACCCCGAUGAUAAGGCAUGAGAAGGAAAUAUGUUUCAAAUGCAUGUCUACAUGGGAGGGGCUCCUACAUAAAAACCAUGUUAUGAAAAGGGCCCACAGAACAAACGUGUGUCCUUGGAAAGUCUGGUUGCUUUAAGUUAAGAGCACAUCUGGGGGUUUUCUGCACAUACUGGAGUCAAUUAUAUCUUAUCUCUGUAUGAAGUCAUUCAACAAGCACACCCUGUUCUCGGUCAUGCCUAUGACCCUUGCCAUGGCUCGUGUGGCAGUGUCUAUAGACCAGCGUUCAGGAAAGGCCACCCAAGCCACGAGCGUGCACGGAGCUUACCCUAGAACUACCUCUCCACUAUCGACAGAGAGGAUCUCAGGCCAACUCACAGAGGAACAAAAGUGCUCAAUAAAUACUUACUCUCAUUUGUAACCUC